rnacentral:rRNA from 1 species
GAGGCGGGCUGGACCUCUCGGGGUUACAGCCUUGCUGAAUUAUUCACCCUUGUCUUUUGCGUACUUCUUGUUUCCUUGGUGGGUUCGCCCACCACUAGGACAAACAUAAACCUUUUGUAAUUGCAAUCAGCGUCAGUAACAAAUUAAUAAUUACAACUUUCAACAACGGAUCUCUUGGUUCUGGCAUCGAUGAAGAACGCAGCGAAAUGCGAUAAGUAGUGUGAAUUGCAGAAUUCAGUGAAUCAUCGAAUCUUUGAACGCACAUUGCGCCCUUUGGUAUUCCAAAGGGCAUGCCUGUUCGAGCGUCAUUUGUACCCUCAAGCUUUGCUUGGUGUUGGGCGUCUUGUCUCUAGCUUUGCUGGAGACUCGCCUUAAAGUAAUUGGCAGCCGGCCUACUGGUUUCGGAGCGCAGCACAAGUCGCACUCUCUAUCAGCAAAGGUCUAGCAUCCAUUAAGCCUUUUUUUUCAACUUUUGACCUCGGAUCAGGUAGGGAUACCCGCUGAACUUAAGCAUAUCAAUAAGCGGAGGAAA